UAAUACGUAGGUGGCAAGCGUUGUCCGGAUUUAUUGGGCGUAAAGGGAACGCAGGCGGUCUUUUAAGUCUGAUGUGAAAGCCUUCGGCUUAACCGGAGUAGUGCAUUGGAAACUGGAAGACUUGAGUGCAGAAGAGGAGAGUGGAACUCCAUGUGUAGCGGUGAAAUGCGUAGAUAUAUGGAAGAACACCAGUGGCGAAAGCGGCUCUCUGGUCUGUAACUGACGCUGAGGUUCGAAAGCGUGGGUAGCAAACAGGAUUAGAUACCCUGGUAGUCCACGCCGUAAACGAUGAAUGCUAGGUGUUGGAGGGUUUCCGCCCUUCAGUGCCGCAGCUAACGCAAUAAGCAUUCCGCCUGGGGAGUACGACCGCAAGGUUG
rnacentral:rRNA from 1 species